rnacentral:rRNA from 1 species
GGCCGCGGGAUUAGAGUUUGAUCCUGGCUCAGAGCGAACGCUGGCGGCAGGCCUAACACAUGCAAGUCGAGCGCCCGUAGCAAUACGGGAGCGGCAGACGGGAUAGUAACACGUGGGAACGCGCCCUUCGGUUCGGAAUAACUCAGGGAAACUUGAGCUAAUACCGGAUACGCCCUUACGGGGAAAGAUUUAUUGCCGAAGGAACGGCCCGCGUCCGAUUAGCUAGUUGGUGAGGUAAUGGCUCACCAAGGCGACGAUCGGUAGCUGGUCUGAGAGGAUGACCAGCAUCACUGGGACUGAGACACGGCCCAGACUCCUACGGGAGGCAGCAGUGGGGAAUAUUGGACAAUGGGUGCAAGCCUGAUCCAGCCAUGACGCGUGGAUGAUGAAGGCCUUACGGUUGUAAAGUCCUUUUAACGGGGAAGAUAAUGACGGUACCCGUAGAAACAGCACCGGCUAACUUCAUGCCAGCAGCCGCGGUAAUACGAAGGGGGCUAGUGUUGCUCGGAAUUACUGGGCGUACAGCGCACGUAAGCGGCUUUUUAAGUCGGUGGUGAAAUCCUGGAG